GAUGAACGCUGGCGGCGUGCUUAACACAUGCAAGUCGAACGAUCGCAAGAUAGUGGCGCACGGGUGAGGAACACGUAGCUAACCUGCCUUCGGGUCUGGGAUAACGUCGCGAAAGCGACGCUAAGACCGGAUAAGCUCACAAGUUGUAGAGGCUGGUGAGAAAAGGGGCAAGACGCCCGAAGAGGGGGCGUGCGGCGCAUCAGCUAGUUGGUGGGGUAACGGGCUCACCAAGGCAACGACGCGUAAGGGGUCGUGAGAGGAUGAUCCCUCACACUGGGACUGAGACACGGCCCAGACUCCUACGGGAGGCGAGCAGUGAGGAAUAAUUGCACCAAAUGGGGGGCGAACCCUGAUGCAGCGACGCCGCGUGGGUGAUGAAGGCC
rnacentral:rRNA from 1 species